UACGGAGGGUGCAAGCGUUAAUCGGAAUUACUGGGCGUAAAGGGUGCGUAGGUGGUUGAUUAAGUUAUCUGUGAAAUUCCUGGGCUCAACCUGGGCGUGUCAGUUAAGACUGGUUGACUUGAGUAUGGGAGAGGGUAGUGGAAUUUCCGGUGUAGCGGUGAAAUGCGUAGAGAUCGGAAGGAACACCAGUGGCGAAGGCGGCUACCUGGCCUAAUACUGACACUGAGGCACGAAAGCGUGGGGAGCAAACAGG
rnacentral:rRNA from 1 species